rnacentral:rRNA from 1 species
UACGGGGGGGGCAAGCGUUGUUCGGAAUUACUGGGCGUAAAGGGCUCGUAGGCGGCCAACUAAGUCAGACGUGAAAUCCCCAGGCUCAACCUGGGAACUGCGUCUGAUACUGGAUGGCUUGAAUUCGGGAGAGGGAUGCGGAAUUCCAGGUGUAGCGGUGAAAUGCGUAGAUAUCUGGAGGAACACCGGUGGCGAAGGCGGCAUUCUGGACCGAGAUUGACGCUGAUGCGCGAAAGCCAGGGGAGCAAACGGG